rnacentral:rRNA from 1 species
AUACGUAGGGGGCGAGCGUUGUCCGGAAUGAUUGGGCGUAAAGGGCGCGUAGGCGGCGCGGUAAGUCUGGAGUGAAAGUCCUGCUUUCAAGGUGGGAAUUGCUUUGGAUACUGCCGCGCUUGAGUGCAGGAGAGGUUAUCGGAAUUCCCGGUGUAGCGGUGAAAUGCGUAGAGAUCGGGAGGAACACCAGUGGCGAAGGCGGGUAACUGGACUGCAACUGACGCUGAGGCGCGAAAGUGUGGGGAGCAAACAGGAUUAGAUACCCUGGUAGUCCACACUGUAAACGAUGAAUGCUAGGUGUAAGAGGUAUCGACCCCAUUUGUGCCGGAGUCAACACAUUAAGCAUUCCGCCUGGGGAGUACGGCCGCAAGGUUGAAACUCAAAGGAAUUGACGGGG